rnacentral:rRNA from 1 species
GGCCCGCAUAAGCGGUGGAGUAUGUGGUUUAAUUCGACGCAACGCGCAGAACCUUACCCAGUCUUGACAUCCCUGGACCACUAUGGAGACAUAGCUUUUCGACCUAACGGAAGAAUCAGGUGACAGGUGCUGCAUGGCUGUCGUCAGCUCGUGUCGUGAGAUGUUCGGUUAAGUCCGGUAACGAGCGCAACCCCUGUCCUUAGUUGCCAAUUAUGGAACUCUAAGGAGACUCCCGGUGUUAAACCGGCGGAAGAUGGGGAUGACGUCAAGUCCUCAUGGCCCUUAUCGGCUGGGGCUACACACGUACUACAAUGGCAACUACAAAGAGCUGCGAAGUCGCGAGGCCAAGCUAAUCUCAAAAAAGUUGCCUCAGUUCGGAUUGGAGUCUGCAACUCGACUCCAUGAAGUUGGAAUCGCUAGUAAUCGGAUAU